rnacentral:rRNA from 1 species
UCUGAAUCCCCUAGAGAUAGGGGCGGCCUUCGGGACAGAGGAGACAGGUGGUGCAUGGUUGUCGUCAGCUCGUGUCGUGAGAUGUUGGGUUAAGUCCCGCAACGAGCGCAACCCUUGAUCUUAGUUGCCAGCACUUCGGGUGGGCACUCUAGGAUGACUGCCGGUGACAAACCGGAGGAAGGUGGGGAUGACGUCAAAUCAUCAUGCCCCUUAUGACCUGGGCUACACACGUACUACAAUGGUCGGUACAACGGGAAGCGAAGGAGCGAUCUGGAGCGAAUCCUUAUAAGCCGAUCUCGGUUCGGAUUGCAGGCUGCAACUCGCCUGCAUGAAGUCGGAAUUGCUAGUAAUCGCGGAUCAGCAUGCCGCGGUGAAUACGUUCCCGGGUCUUGUACACACCGCCCGUCACACCACGAGAGUUUACAACACCCGAAGUCGGUGGGGUAACCCGCAAGGGAGCCAACCGCCGAAGGUGGGGUAGAUGAUUGGGGUGAAGUCGUAACAAGGUAAGCGUAGUGCU